rnacentral:rRNA from 1 species
CCGCGAACGGGUGAGUAACACGUGGGUAACCUGCCCUGAUGAACGGGACAACCCGAGGAAACUCGGGCUAAUACCGUAUGUGCCCUCCGGACAUAAGUCCGCUGGGGAAAGGAAGCUUCGGCCUCCGUAUCGGGAUGGGCCCGCGGCCCAUUAGCUUGUUGGUGAGGUAACGGCUCACCAAGGCGACGAUGGGUAGCUGGUCUGAGAGGACGAUCAGCCACACUGGGACUGAGACACGGCCCAG